rnacentral:lncRNA from 1 species
GCUUAAAUAAAAAUUUAAAUUAAUAAUUAAUCAAAUACAGCAAAAGGAAAAUGAGUAUAACCUCAUUUCUUUUUUUUUUCUUUUUUUUGUGAAACUAACCAAAAUUUCAGAAAGUAAACCAUAAACAAUUUCUGAAAACUUCAAAUCACCAAUCUUUUUACAUUUUUCUUCAAAUUCUUAACACUCAUCUCACAUUCUCACAACAAUUGCUUCAAAAGAGAACACAAAAAUUCAAACCAAUGAAAACAAUUAGCCCAUCUCCUAAAUUCAACAUUUCAACACCUCAAUCUCCACUAACCUCGCAAUCACUCUCUGUCUCUCUCAUCAACUCCAUUACGCCUCCAGAUUUCAUGAAAAUGAUUUUAAUAGAUUCCUUAUUUUUUUGGGGUUUCUACAGCCAUCAACCCAAACACUUAUAACUCAAAUGCCUAAAUGGAAAAAUGCAAUCUGCGAAUGAAACCGUUCGAACCUCGCCGCAGCACCACCACCACUCCACGCUUUUGUUCGAACUUCAAAUGAGGCCUUCGCUCAAGCAAUCAGAGAUCCAAACGCCCCGGCUGCACCACUCACCGGUGGACUUGGCCCCUGCACUGACAAGUUGUGAUUUUCAUUUUUGUCCAUCUGUGGGUAAACUAUGGUCAACCGGCAUAAGGAAAAAUAAUAAGAUAAUUGUUAAAGAUAGGACUGUUACAACGAUAGAAAGAUUUUAACUUAUUUUACAGUAUCGGGGUAUUAUAUAGUGAAACCAAAAAAUAAGGGAUUAUACUCAUUUUUCUCCAAAAAAUAGGAUGCAGAUAUUUUCAGUCGAAACUUCUGUAAACUCACCCUAAGAAAUUAUUAUAAUAAGUUCA